GGGUGGCUCUGGCUGGACACGAGGCUCUCACUGCUGAGUGCGUUCAUCCGUUCCCCCUGGGUGGCUCUGCCCGGGAGCUGCCGGGGCCGAGGAGCGAGGGGAUGGGGCCAGAUGUGAGGGAGGGGAAGGGGCAGAGAGGGCCAAAAACACGCUGGGGG